GGGGAAAUAGCUUAGUUAGUUAGAGUGCUGCUGUCACGCCAUAAGUCGCGGGUUCGAACCUCAUUUUCCUCG
rnacentral:tRNA from 2 species